UACGUAGGGCGCAAGCGUUGUCCGGAAUUAUUGGGCGUAAAGAGCUCGUAGGUGGCGUGUCGCGUCUGCCGUGAAAGCCCAUGGCUUAACUGUGGGUCUGCGGUGGAUACGGGCAGGCUAGAGGCUGGUAGGGGCAAGCGGAAUUCCUGGUGUAGUGGUGAAAUGCGCAGAUAUCAGGAGGAACACCGGUGGCGAAGGCGGAUCUCUGGGCCUUACCUGACGCUCAGGUGCGAAAGCUAGGGGAGCGAACAGG
rnacentral:rRNA from 1 species